rnacentral:rRNA from 1 species
GAUGAACGCUGGCGGCGUGCCUAAUACAUGCAAGUCGAGCGAACGGACGAAAAGCUUGCUUCUCUGAUGUUAGCGGCGGACGGGUGAGUAACACGUGGAUAACCUACCUAUAAGACUGGGAUAACUUCGGGAAACCGGAGCUAAUACCGGAUGAUAUUUUGAACCGCAUGGUUCAAAAGUGAAAGACGGUCUUGCUGUCACUUAUAGAUGGAUCCGCGCUGCAUUAGCUAGUUGGUAAGGUAACGGCUUACCAAGGCAACGAUGCAUAGCCGACCUGAGAGGGUGAUCGGCCACACUGGAACUGAGACACGGUCCAGACUCCUACGGGAGGCAGCAGUAGGGAAUCUUCCGCAAAGGGCGAAAGCCUGACGGAGCAACGCCGCGUGAGUGAUGAAGGUCUUCGGAUCGUAAAACUCUGUUAUUAGGGAAGAACAUAUGUGUAAGUAACUGUGCACAUCUUGACGGUACCUAAUCAGAAAGCCACGGCUAACUACGUG